UAAAUUGUGGCUUAGUGGUAAAGCACUUACCUUGCAUGUGUGAGGCCCUGGGUUCAGUCCUCAGCAAUAAAU
rnacentral:tRNA from 1 species